AGGGGUAUAGCUCAAUGGUAGAGCAUUUAACAGCAGAUCGAGAGGUCCCCAGUUCGAAUCUGGAUGCUUCUU